rnacentral:rRNA from 1 species
AGAGUUUGAUCCUGGCUCAGAUUGAACGCUGGCGGCAUGCCUUACACAUGCAAGUCGAACGGCAGCGCGGGGGCAACCCUGGCGGCGAGUGGCGAACGGGUGAGUAAUACAUCGGAACGUGUCCUGGAGUGGGGGAUAGCUCGGCGAAAGCCGGAUUAAUACCGCAUACGCUCUAAGGAGGAAAGCGGGGGAUCUUCGGACCUCGCGCUCAAGGGGCGGCCGAUGGCGGAUUAGCUAGUUGGUGGGGUAAAGGCCUACCAAGGCGACGAUCCGUAGCUGGUCUGAGAGGACGACCAGCCACACUGGGACUGAGACACGGCCCAGACUCCUACGGGAGGCAGCAGUGGGGAAUUUUGGACAAUGGGGGAAACCCUGAUCCAGCAAUGCCGCGUGUGUGAAGAAGGCCUUCGGGUUGUAAAGCACUUUUGUUCGGGAAGAAAUCCUUCGAGCUAAUACCUUGAGGGGAUGACGGUACCGGAAGAAUAAGCACCGGCUAACUACGUGCCAGCAGCCGCGGUAAUACGUAGGGUGCGAGCGUUAAUCGGAAUUACUGGGCGUAAAGCGUGCGCAGGCGGUUCGCUAAGACCGAUGUGAAAUCCCCGGGCUUAACCUGGGAACUGCAUUGGUGACUGGCGGGCUAGAGUAUGGCAGAGGGGGGUAGAAUUCCACGUAGCAGUGAAAUGCGUAGAGAUGUGGAGGAAUACCGAUGGCGAAGGCAGCCCCCUGGGCCAAUACUGACGCUCAUGCACGAAAGCGUGGGGAGCAAACAGGAUUAGAUACCCCGGUAGUCC